rnacentral:rRNA from 1 species
AUUGAACGCUGGCGGCAGGCCUAACACAUGCAAGUCGAACGGUAACAGGAAGAAGCUUGCUUAUUUGCUGACGAGUGGCGGACGGGUGAGUAAUGUCUGGGAAACUGCCUGAUGGAGGGGGAUAACUACUGGAAACGGUAGCUAAUACCGAAUAACGUCGCAAGACCAAAAAGGGGGACCUUAGGGCCUCUUGCCAUCGGAUGUGCCCAGAUGGGAUUAGCUAGUAGGUGGGGUAACGGCUCACCUAGGCGACGAUCCCUAGCUGGUCUGAGAGGAUGACGCGCCACUCUGGAACUGAGACACGGUCCAGACUCCUACGGGAGGCAGCAGUGGGGAAUAUUGCACAAUGGGCGCAAGCCUGAUGCAGCCAUGCCGCGUGUAUGAAGAAGUCCUUCGGGUUGUAAAGUACUUUCAGCGGGGAGGAAGGUAGUAAAGUUAAUACCUUUGCUCAUUGACGUUACCCGCAGAAGAAGCACCGGCUAACUCCGUG